UUUCGCAAGGUAGAUUAAGGAUACAGAAUUCAAAUGCAGGGGAAUCCAUUUAUUAGUUCAUGUUUAGUUAUGUAAUCACCCUUCAUGGAAUAGUUAGAAAUGUGGAUUUCUAAAUUUCAUGCUCAGGGCUUGAUUUCAGCCAAACCUCAUCUUACAAUGCUUUCAGGUUAACUAUGUCAUGUUCUAGCAUUUCAAACUAGUGAUUUAGUCCUGAUAACAUUAAAGUAAUCUUGAGGGGAUGAAAGGAUACAACAUUAAGACGACUAUUAAGGUCAUCAAGAUCUAGUAUAGGCCUCAGGAACCAGCUCUUAGUGCAAAGUAAACCAUCAUCCAGGGGUCUUGGGUUAAAAUGGUUAGAAGUAGUAGAACAAUAAAUUUCUCAAUUUGAAUUUACCUCAAGAGACGUCUACCCAUUGGUGUUACACACUGAAAUAAGCACAACUAAUUUAUUCCAAAUCCAAAAGAUACUGCAGAGUUGAAAAGCAAAUGGCUUUUGCAUACCUUAUUCAUCAUCCCAAA